UUCUCAUUGAGUGGGCUCUCAGCUCUAGGCCUCUCGUUCAACCUCCUGAGUUCAAAUUAGUUCUUUGUUGUUGGGCUAUAUUGCCUUCGAUAAUUGUGGGCUUUCUGGUAACAAAUAGGUAUGGUGGUGGGUAACUCCUACUAGCAACGUACCAGCAUUUUAAUUUCGGUAAUAGCCAAAUUUUACAAAUUUAUACGCAAAGUUAUCUUAAUUGUCUGGAGAUGGCACACAAGAGAUG